UAUCUUUCACGUUUUUUCCUGACAAAAUAAAGAACAGAAACAUGAACAAUCAAUAUUCCUCUCUUCCUCUGAAAAUCAAUCGAACAAACAACCUUUGGCUCAUCUCACGAAUCGAUUUCACUCUCGUUCUGGGUUCUCUUUUUCACGAACAACAAAAUCAACACUCUCCAUCUCUCUUGAUUUCGCUCACGGCGACCAUGAGAGGAACAAAAGCUCUCAUCGGUAAACAACAACUAUGGUAGCGGACGGUAACAAUAACUAUGGCCUCUCGAUGCUUAUUUUUCUCCCGAAGAUUAGCAACAACAACAACUUCUCAGGGUGCUUCUCGGUUGUUUCAUUUUGAAGGGAACCAAGUUUAACAGCAACAAACUACACUAUUUAGAGAAAGAGUUGAAUCGACGUACCUACAGCAAGGAGAUUUUUGCGGUUUUGAUGUUGAGCUAUGCACAAGAAUAACAUAUUUGCAAGAAUGAUUUAAACAAUAAUAUUUGAGUAUGAGGAUGAAUACAACUUACCUACGGCGAGGAGGUGUUCGCCGGUUUGAGGCUUUUGAUGAAGGUGAUGCCAUAACACCUCUCUUUGAACUUGCUUCAAGACUUGAAGAUGGACUUCAAGUUGGAACUCUCCACCAAGGUAUGAAGAAUUUCUUCUUCACUCUCUUCAAACCAUGGAACUUUGUAACUAGGAAUUCUCACUUCUCAAGUGGUUUUCUUUGGUUUGAAGAAUUGCUUCUUCUUGCCAAGAAACUUGAAAACUAUGAGAGAAAAGAGAGAAGUGAGAAAGCUAGUAGUAUAGUAGCUUUGGUGUGAUUUGCAAUGAAAUGAGGCCUUCUAUUUAUAGGAAAAGUUAAGGGCAUGUUUGGAUGAUAAUAAACUUGAUUGGCAAAUUGUAAUGAUUGCAAGAAUAUUCUUCAUGAGAUAUUUCUUAUGCAAGUGGGAAAAAAAAUCUCUCUUUGAUCUCUUUUUUGUCUUGAAAUUAUUCUUUUGUUAAAUACACCCCUUUUUGUCUUGAAUUAUUCUUUUGCUAAAUUCACCCCUCUUAUGUUUCUUUUUCAUGUUGCAUGAGGACUUUGAAGAAAGCAUGAAGAAGCUUGAACUUGAAGGAUGGAGAUUUGAAGAAUUCAAGAAUUGCAUUUGAAGUUUUAUUUUUUUCUUUUCCUUGUAAUUCCAACUUUGUAUGAAUGAAACUUUGUAUUCUUGAAAAUGAAUGGAAUUUUGUAAUUCUUGAAUUUUGGAUAAA